GCUCACUGUGUACCAGGGACCUGGCCAAGGGUUUCACGUGUAAUCUCGUUUAAUUCUCACAAGAGACGCAGAGAGGUGACGUGACUCAUCAGGUGACAUGACUCACCAGGUCACCUGGCUGGUAAGGGAUGGAACUGGGUUGUGCAUAGAGGCCUAUCUGUGUCCACAGGCAGGCUCCCAGCCACCACCCUCCAGUUCCGUGGCCCUGCUCUGGGACGUGGGAAGAUAAGAAAGAAGGAGGGCACCAGGGGAGCUGGGGUCUGGCAGAGAGCGGGCAACAAGUUUCCACUGACAUGACUUCAGGACCCUGAGUCACCCUGGCCUUGAAUGGCCUCCCAGAGCACGGAUGGGACUUUCCAGGAGCCCAGCUAUUCCUCCAGGAAGAGAAACUCCCAGGAAGCUUCAGUGGCAGCAAAGGUGAAGGGUGAGGGGCGCAGGCAUGCCCCCAGCCUGCCCUGCCACCCACUACCACAUCUGGGACAACUUUGUGACAGAUCUAUUGUCCAAAAGCGGGGCCAGUGGCGGCUGUAUUUCUGGAGCAGGCUGUUCUUCAAGAAGAUGGCUCCUUCCACCUUGUUCUCUUUGAUCAUUUUGGGGGCAUUUUUCUGUAUUUUAUUUUCCUUUUUUAAAACACCCAAUCUUGAGAAUACUAAAACUGACUCCAACUAAUGAGGUCACAGUACCUGAUAAAAACAGUAUCGAAACAUU